rnacentral:rRNA from 1 species
GGACAAAGACUGACGCUCAGGUGCGAAAGCGUGGGAGCAAACAGGAUUAGAUACCCUGGUAGUCCACGCCGUAAACGAUGUCGACUUGGAGGUUGUGCCCUUGAGGCGUGGCUUCCGGAGCUAACGCGUUAAGUCGACCGCCUGGGGAGUACGGCCGCAAGGUUAAAACUCAAAUGAAUUGACGGGGGCCCGCACAAGCGGUGGAGCAUGUGGUUUAAUUCGAUGCAACGCGAAGAACCUUACCUACUCUUGACAUCCAGAGAACUUAGCAGAGAUGGUUUGGUGCCUUCGGGAACUCUGAGACAGGUGCUGCAUGGCUGUCGUCAGCUCGUGUUGUGAAAUGUUGGGUUAAGUCCCGCAACGAGCGCAACCCUUAUCCUUUGUUGCCAGCGGUUCGGCCGGGAACUCAAAGGAGACUGCCAGUGAUAAACUGGAGGAAGGUGGGGAUGACGUCAAGUCAUCAUGGCCCUUACGAGUAGGGCUACACACGUGCUACAAUGGCGCAUACAAAGAGAAGCGACCUCGCGAGAGCAAGCGGACCUCAUAAAGUGCGUCGUAGUCCGGAUUGGAGUCUGCAACUCGACUCCAUGAAGUCGGAAUCGCUAGUAAUCGUAGAUCAGAAUGCUACGGUGAAUACGUUCCCGGGCCUUGUACACACCGCCCGUCACACCAUGGGAGUGGGUUGCAAAAGAAGUAGGUAGCUUAACCUUCGGGAGGGCGCUUACCACUUUGUGAUUCAU